rnacentral:rRNA from 1 species
CCUACGGGGGGCAGCAGUGAGGAAUAUUGGUCAAUGGACGAGAGUCUGAACCAGCCAAGCAGCGUGAAGGAUGACUGCCCUAUGGGUUGUAAACUUCUUUUAUAUGGGAAUAAAAUGUUCCACGUGUGGGAUUUUGUAUGUACCAUAUGAAUAAGGAUCGGCUAACUCCGUGCCAGCAGCCGCGGUAAUACGGAGGAUUCGAGCGUUAUCCGGAUUUAUUGGGUUUAAAGGGAGCGUAGGUGGAUUGUUAAGUCAGUUGUGAAAGUUUGCGGCUCAACCGUAAAAUUGCAGUUGAAACUGGCAGUCUUGAGUACAGUAGAGGUGAGCGGAAUUCGUGGUGUAGCGGUGAAAUGCUUAGAUAUCACGAAGAACUCCGAUUGCGAAGGCAGUUCACUGGACUGCAACUGACACUGAGGCUCGAAAGUGUGGGUAUCAAACAGGAUUAGAUACCCGGGUAGUC